rnacentral:rRNA from 1 species
GACUACCCGGGUAUCUAAGCCCGUUUGCUCCCCUGGCUUUCGCGCCUCAGCGUCAGUUGUCGUCCAGAAAGCCGCUUUCGCCACUGGUGUUCCUCCUAAUAUCUACGCAUUUCACCGCUACACUAGGAAUUCCGCUUUCCUCUCCGAUACUCUAGCAUCGCAGUUUCGGUCCCCUCACGGGGUUAAGCCCCGCACUUUUAAGACCGACUUACGACGCCGCCUGCGCGCCCUUUACGCCCAAUAAUUCCGGACAACGCUUGCCACCUACGUAUUACCGCGGCUGCUGGCACGUAGUUAGCCGUGGCUUUCUCUUACGGUACCGUCACUCGUAACGGGUAUUGACCGCUACGCCAUUCGUCCCGUAUAACAGAACUUUACAACCCGAAGGCCGUCAUCGUUCACGCGGCGUUGCUCCGUCAGACUUUCGUCCAUUGCGGAAGAUUCCCCACUGCUGCCCCCCGUAGG